rnacentral:rRNA from 1 species
GACGAACGCUGGCGGCGUGCUUAAUACAUGCAAGUCAACUGAACUUUAGGUAGCAAUAUUUAAAGGGAGGUGGCGCACGGGUGAGUAACACGUAGGUAAUCUGCCUUCAGGACUGACAUAAUUCCGCGAAAGCGGGACUAAAAUCAGAUGAUGCAGCGGCUCGACAUCGAGACAGUUGUUAAACCUUCGGGGCCUGAAGAUGAGCCUGCGUCUGAUUAGGUAGUUGGCGGGGUAAAAGCCCACCAAGCCUGCGAUCAGUAGCUGGUCUGAGAGGAUGAUCAGCCACACUGGAACUGAGACACGGUCCAGACUCCUACGGGAGGCAGCAGUAAGGAAUAUUGCUCAAUGGCCGAAAGGCUGAAGCAGCAACGCCGCGUGGAGGAUGAAAUACUUUAGUAUGUAAACUCCUGUAAGAGGGGAAAAAUAUACAGCUAUGCUGUGUUGAUUGUACCCUCAGAGUAAGCACCGGCUAACU